CAUAAACCACACCAAUAUCAAAAAUGUGUGGAAUCAUUAGCAAAAAGUAAAAACAAAUAAUGAGAUAAGCAAGAGUUGGUCAAGUAUGAUAAGAUAUCAAAAUACAUAGACAUCCUUUCCCUGUAUUAUUCCAGAGGUACAGAUUAUAUGAGUUUACUUGGCCACCCUUCUAUCUAAAAAUUCUAGCUACGAGCUUCAUGGUUAAUUUUCUUGAACCGGAAAAACCCUUCAUUUAUGGCUAUGUUUCAAGAUAUAUAAGUGAAUUAGUUGCAAAACAGAGGAGUCUCUAUGAAAACAUUACAAUAGCAUUUACUCUGGGGAAUAACGCUU